CUGCAGCUCAAGUGGUGAUCAUUAUUAUUGGGCCUAAAACGUCCGUAGCCGGUUUAGUAAAUGCCUGGGUAAAUCGUGUAGCUUAACUAUACGACUUCCGGGUAGACUGCUAAACUUGAGACCGGGAGAGGCUAGAGGUACUCCUGGGGUAGAGGUGAAAUUCUGUAAUCCUAGGGGGACCACCAGUGGCGAAGGCGUCUAGCUAGAACGGGUCUGACGGUGAGGGACGAAGCCCUGGGGCACAAACCGGAUUAGAGACCCGAGUAGUCC
rnacentral:rRNA from 1 species